UCUGAAAACAUGUAGGAUAUAGAUUAGAGAAUGUGAGAAUUAAAAAAUUUGCAACAAUAAACUAUAUAAAUUUUCAUGGUUAGGAAACCUAAAUUAUGUUGUUUCAUUUCAGUUCCUCGUAAUAGGCAAAGAUCGCCUACUUAGAAGAAACACAAAAAGGAAGUCGGUGUAAGAUGCAGGUCAGAAGACCUAUGCAGGAAAGAAUGCUUGAGCAAUGCUUUACUGUGAUUGGAUGCUGUUUGCUCAUAUUGAAAGUCUUUUGAGGCCAUGCCUUUGGUAUCAAGACUACACCUUUUGUUGGAAUGAUGUAAUGUAUAUAUUUGUUAGAUACACUUGUAGUAUGGGCCACCCAUAGUAAACAAUGGGGUUGGGUAUAUGUAAAUUAAUGUUGUACAAGUUUCUUUUGUGAAACAAAACAUAUUUUGUUAACUUAAUAGUCACAAUGUUUAAUACAGAAUGUACUCUUUAUAACA